AAGGAUCAUUACAGAGUUCCUGCCCUCACGGGUAGAAACCCCACCCUUGUGUAUUAUAUGAUUGUUGCUUUGGCAGGCCGCCGUUUGGCCCUGGCUUCGGCUAGGCUGUGCCUGCCAGAGGACCCCCAAUUCUGAAUGUUAGUGUCGUCUGAGUACUAUUCAAUAGUUAAAACUUUCAACAACGGAUCUCUUGGUUCUGGCAUCGAUGAAGAACGCAGCGAAAUGCGAUAAGUAAUGUGAAUUGCAGAAUUCAGUGAAUCAUCGAAUCUUUGAACGCACAUUGCGCCCCUUGGUAUUCCGAGGGGCAUGCCUGUUCGAGCGUCAUUAUAACCACUCCCACCUCGGUGGGGUCUUGGGCUUCGCCUCCGGGCGGGUCUUAAAAUCAGUGGCGGCCCUGCUCGGCUCCUAAGCGUAGUAACAAUUCUCGCUAUAGGGCUCGGGUGGUCGUUAGCCAACAACCCCCCUUUAUUUACAGGAUUGACCUCGGAUCAGGUAGGGAUACCCGCUGAACUUAA
rnacentral:rRNA from 1 species